GCAUGAUGGCCUUUUCUCAGACUCUGAAUCUGAUGUAUACAGAUGAACUCAGGAGCCUGCGAGAGCCAGGGAACUUGAGCUUGAACUGAAGACCAAAAACACAAAGAAAAUCAGUCACAGCAAGCCAGUCAAACCAGUCCUGAUGAAUGAGGAAUGAACAUGGCCUUCUUGUGCACAAACAGAAAAGACAGAAAGCUGAAAAGUUGCACAUUUUCAUUGCUCCUAGAAUGAGCAAAUCAGCUGUGCAUCAUCUCUGGGAUUUGGGCAGAAAAUGACUGAAUAUGGAAGAUGAAGCCAGUUGAUGAAGAUAUCAAUUCAAUGGCCACCAAGUACUGCACUGCUGCCUGAACCCAUCAGGUAUCUGCUGUGAAGACUGCAUUCACAAACAGCUCUACUGUGACAGCGCAGAUGUUACGGCCCAUAAAAGUAAAUUUCACA